UAGGGAAUCUUCGGCAAUGGGGGGAACCCUGACCGAGCAACGCCGCGUGAGUGAAGAAGGUUUUCGGAUCGUAAAGCUCUGUUGUUAAGGAAGAACGAGUGUGAGAAUGGAAAGUUCAUACUGUGACGGUACUUAACCAGAAAGGGACGGCUAACUACGUGCCAGCAGCCGCGGUAAUACGUAGGUCCCGAGCGUUGUCCGGAUUUAUUGGGCGUAAAGCGAGCGCAGGCGGUUAGAUAAGUCUGAAGUUAAAGGCAGUGGCUCAACCAUUGUAGGCUUUGGAAACUGUUUAACGUGAGUGCAGAAGAGGAGGGUGGAAUUCCAUGUGUAGCGGUGAGAUGCGUAGUUAUAUGGAGGAACACCGGUGGCGACAGCGGCUCUCUGUUCUGUAACUGACGCUGAGGCUCGAAAGCGUGGGGAGCGAACAGG
rnacentral:rRNA from 1 species